rnacentral:misc_RNA from 1 species
GAUGAAGAACGUAGCGAAAUGCGAUAAGUAAUGUGAAUUGCAGAAUUCAGUGAAUCAUCGAAUCUUUGAACGCACAUUGCGCCCGCCAGUAUUCUGGCGGGCAUGCCUGUUCGAGCGUCAUUUCAACCAUCAAGCCCCAGGCUUGUGUUGGGGACCUGCGGCUGCCGCAGGCCCUGAAAACCAGUGGCGGGCUCGCUGUCACACCGGGCGUAGUAGAUUUUAUCUCGCUCAGGGCGUGCUGCGGGUUCCGGCCGUUAAAAAGCCUUUUUUACCCAAGGUUGACCUCGGAUCAGGUAGGAAUACCCGCUGAACUUAAGCAUAUCAAAAGCGGAGGA